rnacentral:rRNA from 1 species
UACGUAGGGUGCGAGCGUUGUCCGGAAUUAUUGGGCGUAAAGAGCUUGUAGGCGGUUUGUCGCGUCUGCUGUGAAAAUCCGGGGCUCAACCCCGGACUUGCAGUGGGUACGGGCAGACUAGAGUGCGGUAGGGGAGAUUGGAAUUCCUGGUGUAGCGGUGGAAUGCGCAGAUAUCUGGAGGAACACCGGUGGCGAAGGCGGCAUCCUGGACCGGCAUUGACGCUGAGGCGCGAAAGCCAGGGGAGCAAAGCGGG